rnacentral:rRNA from 1 species
AAUGGGCGCAAGCCUGAUCCAGCCAUGCCGCGUGAGUGAUGAAGGCCCUAGGGUCGUAAAGCUCUUUCGCCAGGGAUGAUAAUGACAGUACCUGGUAAAGAAACCCCGGCUAACUCCGUGCCAGCAGCCGCGGUAAUACGGAGGGGGUUAGCGUUGUUCGGAAUUACUGGGCGUAAAGCGCGCGUAGGCGGAUUAGUCAGUUAGAGGUGAAAUCCCGGGGCUCAACCCCGGAACUGCCUUUAAUACUGCUAGUCUUGAGUUCGAGAGAGGUGAGUGGAAUUCCGAGUGUAGAGGUGAAAUUCGUAGAUAUUCGGAGGAACACCAGUGGCGAAGGCGGCUCACUGGCUCGAUACUGACGCUGAGGUGCGAAAGUGUGGGAAGCAAACAGGAUU